rnacentral:pre_miRNA from 1 species
UAAUUACUCCCUCCGUCCGAAAAAGCUUGUCCCAAGCUUGUCCCUCAAAUGGAUGUAUCUAGCACUAACUUGGUGCUAGAUACAUUCAUUUGAAGGACAAGCUUUUUCGGACGGAGGGAGUACAUG